rnacentral:rRNA from 1 species
GACGAACGCUGGCGGCGUGCUUAACACAUGCAAGUCGAACGGAAAGGCCCUGCUUGCAUGGUACUCUAGUGGCGAACGCGGGAGUAACACGCGUGUGAUCCGCGCUCCACUUCUGGGUAUGCCUUCGGAACUGUGUCUAAAACCCGGUAUGAGCGAUCCUGCUGGUUGGUGGUGGAAGGAUUUUUUGGUGUAGGAUGAGCGCGCGGCCUAUCAGCUUGCUGGUUGGGUAAUGGGCUACCAACGCGGCGUAUGGUAGGCGGCCUGAGAGGGUGGACGGCCAACAUGGGGCUGGGAAUAGGCCCAGAAUCCCACGGGGGGCAGCCGUGGGGAAUAUUGCACAAUGGGCGGAAGCCCGAUGCAGCGAAGGCGCGUGGGGGAUGAAGGCCUUCGGGUUGGAAACUCCCUUCGGUAGGGAAGAAGGUUUUUGUGACGGUAACUAGAUAAGAAGCACCGGCUAACUACGUG